UUUCUACUGAACAAAGAAUCUCCAACCAAAUUCGGAGAUCAGUCUCUCCAGUACCCAGUCAUCUGUCCAUGAAGAGUGACUUCUCUAUGCAUCAUCCUAUAGAUUUUAGUGAUGGACCAGUGACCUUUGACCCUAGAAUCUCCAACCAAACUUCUGAGAUCAGUCUCUCCAGUACC